UCGGGAAUUUUGUGCAAUGGGCGAAAGCCUGACACAGCAACGCCGCGUGAAGGAUGAAGUCCCUCGGGAUGUAAACUUCGUAAGAAUAGGAAGAAUAAAUGACGGUACUAUUUGUAAGGUCCGGCUAACUACGUGCCAGCAGCCGCGGUAAUACGUAGGGACCAAGCGUUGUUCGGAUUUACUGGGCGUAAAGGGUGCGUAGGCGGCAUAUCAAGUCACUUGUGAAAUCUCCGGGCUUAACUCGGAACUGCCAAGUGAUACUGAUGUGCUAGAGUGCAGAAAGGGCAACUGGAAUUCUUGGUGUAGCGGUGAAAUGCGUAGAUAUCAAGAGGAACACCUGAGGCGAAGGCGAGUUGCUAGGCUGACACUGACGCUGAGGUACGAAAGCUAGGGGAGCGAACGGGAUUAGAUACCCCUGUAGUCCCUGAGCGGGCUGGCAAGGCGCAU
rnacentral:rRNA from 1 species